rnacentral:rRNA from 1 species
AUUGAACGCUGGCGGCAGGCCUAACACAUGCAAGUCGAACGAGUGGCGGACGGGUGAGUAAUGUAGGGGAAACUGCCGGAUGGAGGGAGAAAACUACUGGAAACGGUAGCUAAUACCGCAUACCAUCAAAUGGGCCCAGAGGGGAUUAGCUAGUUGGUGGGGUAACGGCGCACAAAGGCGACGAUCCCUAGCUGGUCUGAGAGGAUGACCAGCCACAAUGGAACUGAGACACGGUGCAGACUCCUACGGUAGGGAGCAGUGGGGAAUAUUGCACAAUGUGCGCAAGCCUGACGCAGCCAUGCCGCGUGUAUGAAGAAGGCCUUCGGGUUGUAAAGUACUUUUAGCGGGGAGGCGUUACCCGCAGAAGAAGCACCGGCUAACUCCGUGCCAGCAGCCGCGGUAAUAC